UCCAGGGAAGGGCUUCUGUUU
rnacentral:miRNA from 1 species